CGUGGCUAAUUUCAUAGCGUGCAAGUCACUUACUCGAAAGGGUGCUGUGACAGUAUUGUUUAUUUAAAAAAUUACUGUGUUCAAUUAAUAACUGAAAUCAAUGUCGAUAAAUUGGAAAAAUAUCAUAUAAAUUCUCCAUAAAACAAAAUGAAGUUGUGGUUAGUAGUUGUUCACAUCGUCUUAGUUGCAACGAAUAUAUGGGUCACUGCACAUUUUCACGAAGAACUGCCUGAAGAUAACGAAUUUGCGGAAUUUGAAGAUUUUGAAGAUGAAAAACCAUCUCAGACAAUCAAUGAUCUCAAAGAAUCAAAUGAUAAUCAAGAUUUCGAAGAAGAAGAUGUUUUGAUUGUUGAUGGUGACAGUGAAUUUGAUCACUUUCAAGAUGAGGAAGAAUUUGAAGGACUAGAUGCAGCUGGGGGAAAUGCAGGCCCAAAAAGCAAUGAACCAUCUACUUUAACCAUUACAAAAAUACCACUUCAUCUACGUGCCAGAUGGGAUAGUUUUUACCUAGAAAUAUUAAUGGUCAUUGGAUUAUUAGUGUAUUUCAUUAAUUAUGUAGCAGGACGUUCCAAAAAUGCUCGCAUAGCGAAGAUGUGGCUCAUAGAGCACAAGCAGCUUUUGCUUGAUAACUUUUCUCUUGUUGGCGACACAGGGAAAUCAAGCGAAGAGACAUCUGAAAAUGGCUUGGUAAAAGAAAGCCAAUCUCACUAUAGUUUAUAUUGUUCAGGGCGAGUUGGAUGCGAUUCUAUGUUAAUAGAAUUAAAACUAAUCAAAAGACAAGAUUUAGUCGCAGUAUUAGCACAACUUGUGCGCCCUCAGAAUGAUCAAGCACACAUACGUGUGGAAUUAGCAAAAGAUGAAACAGAUAAUUUUGUAUUAGCAGUAGCCACAAAAAGGACAGCACUGCAUUUAAUACGUGAUAUGGCUGAUAUCAGUGUUUAUUGCCCAGAAAAGAGACCAGGGGAAAAAUUUGGUCUUCCAGCAGGUUUUUAUGUAAUGUCUGAAAUUGCUGAAGCAGCAUCUGCUAUUUUAGAUACAAGAGUUUUACAAGCAUUUGCAAAAUUUGCGCAAUACAUAGAUUAUAUACAUAUUAGCGAUCAAUUUAGUGGCCCCAAACAACAAGAAGAUACAACUCAGUUAACAAUGCCUGAAGUAAAGAGGGUUCUACUUGUUGGAUUAAAUAUAAGUAUUAAGGGACGUACUACUAAUGCAGAGGGUCAAGAAAAAUUGAAACUUCUUUUACAAUUAACUUUUUACUUAUUAGAUAAAUUGAGACGUUUCAAAUUAUCUAAAGAGGGUAAAAGUAAAACUGAUAAAAAUAGACUGAGAGUUGAAGAGGCGUUUUUAAAGACAACUCAUGCUGCUAGAGCAGAAGCAGCCGCUCAGCGAAGAGAGGAGCGUCGUAGAGCUGAGAAGGAACGUAUUCUACAGGAAGAAGAUCCUGAUAAGCAAAGAAAAUGGGAAGAAAAAGAACAACGAAGACUUGCUAAAAAACGAGCUCCAAGAAUGAAGCAGCUUAAAGUAAAAGCAUUAUGACCAAAUAAAACUAAUCAUAAAGAGCUGAUUGAAAUUACUAAGGAGCCAUGAGUUGCUCAGUCGAACUGCCCAUUUAAUUUGACUCGUGUAAUAAAACUAUAAAACUAUAAAUAUUUCAAUGCAUCUGUCAAAACCAUGAAAUUUCCAUCGAACAAUUUAUUGAAUUGCCACAGAAACUAUAUUAUAUAGGGUCCACUGCCAAACCGCCACAUCCAAAUCUGACGAAGCCAAGCAGCCAACCAACCAAGCAGUCAAUCAAUCAAUCAGCCAACCAAUCAAUCAGUCAAUCAACCUCUAAGAUGCAAUGCCUCCCACACGUGCAGUCUCAGAUGCCUACCGAUAAAACGAUCGCAAUGAUGCAAGUCAACGAUCGGUGAGUCGCAUGCUUUACGAUUCCUCCGGUUCCCAUCAUGUCGUAGGACGAAUGGUCCGAAGC
rnacentral:misc_RNA from 1 species